rnacentral:piRNA from 1 species
GGCAGACCUGGAGUUAAAACAUU